UGCAUUCACUACUGUAAGUCGCUCUGGAUAAGAGCGUCUGUUAAAUGAGUAAAA
rfam:Salmo salar isolate Sally breed double haploid chromosome ssa13, whole genome shotgun sequence.